rnacentral:rRNA from 1 species
UUCAGGCCUAACACAUGCAAGUCGAGCGCGAAAGCCCUUCGGGGUGAGUAGAGCGGCGGACGGGUGAGUAACGCGUAGGAAUCUACCUGGUAGUGGGGGACAACAUGGGGAAACUCAUGCUAAUACCGCAUACGCCCUACGGGGGAAAGCGGGGGACCUUCGGGCCUCGCGCUAUCAGAUGAGCCUGCGUUGGAUUAGCUUGUUGGUGAGGUAAAGGCCUACCAAGGCGACGAUCCGUAGCUGGUCUGAGAGGACGAUCAGCCACACUGGGACUGAGACACGGCCCAGACUCCUACGGGAGGCAGCAGUGGGGAAUAUUGGACAAUGGGCGCAAGCCUGAUCCAGCAAUGCCGCGUGUGUGAAGAAGGCCUGCGGGUUGUAAAGCACUUUCAGUAGAGAAGAAAAGCCUAGGGCUAAUACCCCUGAGUCUUGACGUAACCUACAGAAGAAGCACCGGCUAACUCCGUGCCAGCAGCCGCGGUAAUACGGAGGGUGCGAGCGUUAAUCGGAAUUACUGGGCGUAAAGCGCGCGUAGGCGGUUUUGUAAGUCGGAUGUGAGAUCCCCGGGCUUAAC